AGUUAGUUCUCUUCUCCGUUGUUGGAACUGGCGUCUGCUCGGAGAUUGUGCCAGGAAAUGCCAUAAGGAUGAUCUUGAGUCCGGCGAACCUAUCGCACUUUUGGAAUUCCGUCAGAGUCGCCUCGUUCCGUAGGAAGAGUCACGCUUUGGUCCCCCGUCACAGGAGGCGUUGAUGUUCUUCGUCACUCAUACCGUUCGCCCAACAGGCAGAAGAGCAAUCGUUGGUUGUGGUGCGUGGUGGUGCUGCUGGAGUCUAUGCUUCAAUUAGAGCGAAGUCUCUAGCUCCGCACCUAGACGUGCUGGUUAUUGAAAAAGGUUGCAAAUCUUCAAAUUUGGAUGUAGUAGCAGGGCAAAAAGGGUGCAAUCUGUGUACUUUCUGGUGGUGGGUAAGUUAGCAAAAGGGAGCACUUGUCUAUCCUUUUGGCGCUUGGAGUAUGUAUGUUAGGCAUGAUAUUGUGGUUAUAUUACUGUUCUCUGAAUUUGUUUAAUUAUAUCUAACAUCCCCAUAGCAAGGUAUGUAUAACCCAUGUCAAUCAUUGUUUUACUGAUAUUGACCUUCCGAUCACUUUUAUUGAAUUCUAUAUUGCCCUAGCCGCAGAGACAAAAUUUCAUACAUCACAAGAAUAUAUUGAUUGUUUUCUCUCCCUUUAUCUAUAGAGACUAGUGGAUAAUUAUCCUCGAGGAAAUAGAGAACUGAGAGGCUCUUUUUUCAACAUUCAUGGACCAAAGGACACAAUAUGCUGGUUUUCUCCUCAUGGGAUUAAGCUUAAGACAGAAGAUGAUGGAAGAGUUUUCCCCGUUAGCAACAACUCGUCAUCUAUUGUAGACCAACGAGGCAAAGAG